rnacentral:rRNA from 1 species
UGGGGAAUAUUGCGCAAUGGUCUAACGACUGACGCAGCGACGCCGCGUGAGGGAUGAAGCUCUUCGGAGUGUAAACCUCUGUUGCCAGGGACGAACAGCUGAAUUCAUUCAGCCUGACGGUACCUGGUGAGGAAGCACCGGCUAACUCCGUGCCAGCAGCCGCGGUAAUACGGGGGGUGCGAGCGUUGUCCGGAAUCACUGGGCGUAAAGGGCGCGUAGGUGGCCUGAUAAGGGUGUGGUGAAAGUCCGGGGCUUAACCCCGGAUCUGCCAUGCCGACUGUUAGGCUAGAGUGCUGUAGGGGCAGGCGGAAUUCCGGGUGUAGCGGUGGAAUGCGUAGAGAUCCGGAGGAAGACCGGUGGCGAAGGCGGCCUGCUGGGCAGAUACUGACACUGAGGCGCGACAGCGUGGGGAGCAAACAG